rnacentral:tRNA from 2 species
CACUAAAUAACUAAAUUUAAGAUUUGGUCUUUUAAACCAAAAAUAGUAUAAUUACUUUUAGUGA